GAUGAAGAACGCAGCGAAAUGCGAUAAGUAAUGUGAAUUGCAGAAUUCAGUGAAUCAUCGAAUCUUUGAACGCACAUUGCGCCCCUUGGUAUUCCGAGGGGCAUGCCUGUUCGAGCGUCAUUAUAACCCCUCAAGCUCAGCUUGGUGUUGGGGCCUGCUGCACUGGCAGCCCUUAAAAUCAGUGGCGGCGCCAUCUGGCUCUAAGCGUAGUAAUUCUUCUCGCUAUGGAGUCCUGGUGGAUGCUUGCCAUCAACCCCCAAUUUUUCUAUGGUUGACCUCGGAUCAGGUAGGGAUACCCGCUGAACUUAAGCAUAUCAAUAAGGGAGGA
rnacentral:misc_RNA from 1 species